rnacentral:rRNA from 1 species
UACGUAGGGUGCGAGCGUUAAUCGGAAUUACUGGGCGUAAAGCGUGCGUAGGCGGUUCGUUAAGUCAGCUGUGAAAGCCCCGGGCUCAACCUGGGAAUUGCGGUUGAAACUGGCGAACUAGAAUCUGGCAGAGGGGGGUGGAAUUCCACGUGUAGCAGUGAAAUGCGUAGAGAUGUGGAGGAACACCGAUGGCGAAGGCGGUGAUCUGGGCCGACACUGACGCUGUAGAGCGAAAGCGUGGGGAGCGAACAGG